AGUGAACGCUGGCGGUAGGCCUAACACAUGCAAGUCGAACGGCAGCACAGUAAGAGCUUGCUCUUACGGGUGGCGAGUGGCGGACGGGUGAGGAAUACAUCGGAAUCUACUUUUUCGUGGGGGAUAACGUAGGGAAACUUACGCUAAUACCGCAUACGACCUACGGGUGAAAGCAGGGGAUCUUCGGACCUUGCGCGAUUGAAUGAGCCGAUGUCGGAUUAGCUAGUUGGCGGGGUAAAGGCCCACCAAGGCGACGAUCCGUAGCUGGUCUGAGUGGAUGAACAGCCACACUGGAACUGAGACACGGUCCAGACUCCUACGGGAGGCAGCAGUGGGGAAUAUUGGACAAUGGGCGCAAGCCUGAUCCAGCCAUACCGCGUGGAUGAAGAAGGCCUUCGGGUUGUAAAGCCCUUUUGUUGGGAAAGAAAAGCAGCAGGUUAAUACCCCGCUGUUCUGACGGUACCCAAAGAAUAAGCACCGGCCAACUUCGUG
rnacentral:rRNA from 1 species